rnacentral:rRNA from 1 species
AUUCCAGCUCCAAUAGCGUAUAUUUAAGUUGUUGCAGUUAAAAAGCUCGUAGUUGGAUUUCGGGUGGGCUGCGCCGGUCUCCUAACGGUUGUACUGGCGACGCCUGCCUUGCUGCCGGGGACGGGCUCCUGCCUUAACUGUCGGGACCCGGAAUCGGCGACGUUACUUUGAGUAAAUUAGAGUGUUCAAAGCAAGCCUACGCUCUGAAUAUAAUAGCAUGGGAUAACACGACAGGACUCUGGCCUAUCGUGUUGGUCUGUAGGACCAGAGUAAUGAUUAAGAGGGACAGUCGGGGGCAUUCGUAUUCCGUUGUCAGAGGUGAAAUUCUUGGAUUUACGGAAGACGAACAUCUGCGAAAGCAUUUGCCAAGGAUGUUUUCAUCG